rnacentral:rRNA from 1 species
CCAGACAGCCAGGAUGUUGGCUUAGAAGCAGCCAUCAUUUAAAGAAAGCGUAAUAGCUCACUGGUCGAGUCGGCCUGCGCGGAAGAUGUAACGGGGCUAAACCAUGCACCGAAGCUGCGGCAGCGAACGUAUCACCCAAGACAACUUUACGGAGUUGACGAUUGACGGAGCGAAGCGACGUCAAAGCGUUCAUUAAAGUCGAGUUGGCUUAGGGAUACGUUCGUUGGGUAGGGGAGCGUUCUGUAAGCCUGUGAAGGUGUGUCGUGAGGCAUGCUGGAGGUAUCAGAAGUGCGAAUGCUGACAUAAGUAACGAUAAAGCGGGUGAAAAGCCCGCUCGCCGGAAGACCAAGGGUUCCUGUCCAACGUUAAUCGGGGCAGGGUGAGUCGACCCCUAAGGCGAGGCCGAAAGGCGUAGUCGAUGGGAAACGGGUUAAUAUUCCCGUACUUGGUGUUACUGCGAAGGGGGGACGGAGAAGGCUAUGUUGGCCGGGCGACGGUUGUCCCGGUUUAAGCGUGUAGGUGUGUGUUCCAGGUAAAUCCGGUUCACUUUAACACUGAGGCGUGACGACGAGGCACUACGGUGCUGAAGCAACAAAUGCCCUGCUUCCAGGAAAAGCCUCUAAGCAUCAGGUAACACGAAAUCGUACCCCAAACCGACACAGGUGGUCAGGUAGAGAAUACCAAGGCGCUUGAGAGAACUCGGGUGAAGGAACUAGGCAAAAUGGUGCCGUAACUUCGGGAGAAGGCACGCUGACACGUAGGUGAAGUGAUUUACUCAUGGAGCUGAAGUCAGUCGAAGAUACCAGCUGGCUGCAACUGUUUAUUAAAAACACAGCACUGUGCAAACACGAAAGUGGACGUAUACGGUGUGACGCCUGCCCGGUGCCGGAAGGUUAAUUGAUGGGGUCAGCGCAAGCGAAGCUCCUGAUCGAAGCCCCGGUAAACGGCGGCCGUAACUAUAACGGUCCUAAGGUAGCGAAAUUCCUUGUCGGGUAAGUUCCGACCUGCACGAAUGGCGUAAUGAUGGCCAGGCUGUCUCCACCCGAGACUCAGUGAAAUUGAACUCGCUGUGAAGAUGCAGUGUACCCGCGGCAAGACGGAAAGACCCCGUGAACCUUUACUAUAGCUUGACACUGAACAUUGAGCCUUGAUGUGUAGGAUAGGUGGGAGGCUUUGAAGUGUGGACGCCAGUCUGCAUGGAGCCGACCUUGAAAUACCACCCUUUAAUGUUUGAUGUUCUAACGUGGACCCGUAAUCCGGGUUGCGGACAGUGUCUGGUGGGUAGUUUGACUGGGGCGGUCUCCUCCUAAAGAGUAACGGAGGAGCACGAAGGUUGGCUAAUCCUGGUCGGACAUCAGGAGGUUAGUGCAAUGGCAUAAGCCAGCUUGACUGCGAGCGUGACGGCGCGAGCAGGUGCGAAAGCAGGUCAUAGUGAUCCGGUGGUUCUGAAUGGAAGGGCCAUCGCUCAACGGAUAAAAGGUACUCCGGGGAUAACAGGCUGAUACCGCCCAAGAGUUCAUAUCGACGGCGGUGUUUGGCACCUCGAUGUCGGCUCAUCACAUCCUGGGGCUGAAGUAGGUCCCAAGGGUAUGGCUGUUCGCCAUUUAAAGUGGUACGCGAGCUGGGUUUAGAACGUCGUGAGACAGUUCGGUCCCUAUCUGCCGUGGGCGCUGGAGAACUGAGGGGGGCUGCUCCUAGUACGAGAGGACCGGAGUGGACGCAUCACUGGUGUUCGGGUUGUCAUGCCAAUGGCACUGCCCGGUAGCUAAAUGCGGAAGAGAUAAGUGCUGAAAGCAUCUAAGCACGAAACUUGCCCCGAGAUGAGUUCUCCCUGAGACUUAGAGUCUCCUGAAGGAACGUUGAAGACGACGACGUUGAUAGGCCGGGUGUGUAAGCGCAGCGAUGCGUUGAGCUAACCGGUACUAAUGAACCGUGAGGCUUAACCUUACA